UACGGAGGGUGCAAGCGUUAUCCGGAUUCACUGGGUUUAAAGGGUGUGUAGGCGGGCUGUUAAGUCAGUGGUGAAAUCUCCGGGCUCAACCCGGAAACUGCCAUUGAUACUAUCAGUCUUGAAUUCUGUUGAGGUGGGCGGAAUAUGUCAUGUAGCGGUGAAAUGCAUAGAUAUGACAUAGAACACCAAUUGCGAAGGCAGCUCACUAAGCAGCGAUUGACGCUGAGGCACGAAAGCGUGGGGAUCAAACAGG
rnacentral:rRNA from 1 species